AUGUCUUCCAAUAAUGUCGAAGUUUUUAUCCCAAUGUCACAAGGAAACACCAAUGGCUUACCCAAGGUGACCUCAAAGACCUGAAAGCAUUUACUGAAAGAGCUGUGCUUUCAUAACAUCUGUUAUCAAGAAAAAGUGAAGAGCAGCUUUCUACAUGGUCAAAAACCAGUUGAGAAAGAAAUACAAUUGAAUAUCAAUGGGAUCGUGAAACCUGGCCUCAAUGCCAUUCUGGGACCCGCAAGUGGAGGCAUUAUUAGAUGUCUUAGUUUCAAGGAAAGACCCACAUGUAUUAUCUGGAGAUGUUCUGAUAAACACAGCACCUCAACCUGCCAAUUUCAAAUGUAAUUCAGGUUACAUGGUACAGGAUGAUGUCAUGAUGAGUACCCCAACAGUGAGAGAACAUUUACAGUUCUCAGAAGCUCUUCAGCUUCCAACAACUGUGAUGAAUUGUGAAAAAAAAAUGAAUAGAUAAAUAUGGUCAUUCAAGAGUUAGGUCUGGAUAAAGCAGCAGAUUUCAAGGUUAGAAUUCAAUUCAUCUGCAGUGUGUCAGAAGGAAAAAGAAACAGGACUAAUAUAGGAAUGGAGCCUAUUACUGAUCCUCUCAUCUUGUUCCUGGAUGAGCCCACAACUGGACUGGACUCAAGCACAGCAAAUGCUGACCUUUUUGCUCCUGAAAAGGAUGUCUAAGUAGGGACGAACAAUCAUCUUCUUCCCAUUCACCAGCCUUGGUAUUCCAUCUUCAAGUUGUUUGAUAGCCUCACCUUAAUGGCCUCACAAAGAGGAAUGUUCCAUGGGCCUGCUUAAGAGGGCUUGGGGUACUUUGCAUCAACUGGUUACCACUGUGAGUUCAAUAAUAACCCUGCAGACUUCUUCCUGGGUGUCAUUAAUGGAGAUUCACUGCUGUGGUAUUAAACAGAGAGGAAGAAGACUGAAGCCACGGAGACUGUAGAGACCGCUAAGAGAGAUAAGUCACUCACAGAAAAAUUAGCUGAGUUUUAUGUCAACUCCUCCUUCAACAGAGAAACAAAAGCUGAAUUAGAUCAACUCUCAGAGGGUAAGAAAAAGAAGAGGAUCUCAGCUUUCAAGAUCACCUAAUGCCACUUCAUUCUCUCAGAUGGGUUUCCAUGCAUUUAUUCAAAAACCUGCUGGGUAAAUCCCAGGCCUCUAUAGCUCAGGUAAUUGUCACAACCAUACUGAGGCUGAUUAUAGGUGCCAUUUACUUUGGGCUAAAAAAUGAUUCUACUGAAAUCCCGAAUAGAGCCAGGGUUGUCUUCUUGACCACCAGCUGGUGUUUCAGCAGUGUGUCGGUCAUAGAGCUCUUUGUGCUAGAGAAGAUCUUUAUACACAAAUAUAUUAGUGGAUACUACAGAGUGUCAUCUUAUUUCUUUGGAAAACUGUUAUCUAAUUUACUACCAGGAAGAUGUUACCAAGCAUUAUAUUUACCUCUAUAAUAAUACGUGCAUUAUAAAAAUAAUGCUGUAUAAUAAUCCUAAUCUUGUUAGGAUUAAAGACAAAGGUGGACACCUUCAUCAUCAUGAUGUUUUCCCUCAUGAUGGUGACUUAUUUAGCACUGGCCAUAGCAGCAGGUCAGUGUGGUUUCCAUAGCAAUGCUUCUCCUGACCAUCUCUUUUGUAUUUAUAAUGGUUUUUUCAGGUCUAUUAGUAAAUCUCGCAACCAUUGCAUCUUGGCUGUUAUGGUUUAAGUACUUCAGCAUUCCAGUUUUACAGCUUUGCUGCCUAACGAAUUUUUGGAACAAAACUUCUGCCCAGGACUCCGUGAAAUAGUAAACAAUACUGUGGCUCCCCAAUAUGUACUGGCAAGGAAUAUUUGAUAAACCAGCCAUCAAUGUCUUACCCUGGGGCUUGUGGAAGAAUCAUAUAACCGUGGCUUGUAUGGUUAUCUUCCUGAUUUGCCUACCUAAAAUUGUUAUUUCUUUUAAAAUAUUCU
rnacentral:lncRNA from 1 species